rnacentral:rRNA from 1 species
CCUACGGGAGACAGCAGUGAGGAAUAUUGGUCAAUGGGCGAGAGCCUGAACCAGCCAAGUCGCGUGAAGGAUGACUGUCCUCCGGUUUGUAACCUUCUUUUAUAAAGGAAUAAAGUGAGGCAAGUGUGCCUUUUUGUCUGUACUUUAUGAAUAAGGAUCGGCUAACGCUGUGCCAGCAGCCGCGGUAAUACGGAGGAUCCGAGCGUUAUUCGGAUUUAUUGGGUGUAAAGGGAGCGUAGGUGGGUUGUUAAGUCAGUUGUGAAAGUUUGUGGCUUAACCGUAAAAUUGCAAUUGAAACUGUCAGUCUUGAGUACAGUGGAGGUAGGCGGAAUUCGUGGUGUAGCGGUGAAAUGCUUAGAGAUCACGAAGAACUCCGAUUGCGAAGGCAGCUUACUAAACUGCCACUGACAUUGAUGCUCGAAAGUGUGGGUAGCAAACAGGAUUAGAUACCCUAGUAGUC